rnacentral:rRNA from 1 species
GAUGAACGCUGGCGGCGUGCCUAAUACAUGCAAGUCGAGCGAACGGACGAGAAGCUUGCUUCUCUGAUGUUAGCGGCGGACGGGUGAGUAACACGUGGAUAACCUCCCUAUAAGACUGGGAUAACUUCGGGACACCGGAGCUAAUACCGGAUAAUAUUUUGAACCGCAUGGUUCAAAAGUGAAAGACGGCCUUGCUGUCACUUAUAGAUGGAUCCGCGCUGCAUUAGCUGGUUGGUAAGGUAACGGCUUACCAAGGCAACGAUGCAUAGCCGACGUGAGAGGGGGAUAGGCCACACUGGAGCGGAGCCGGGGACCAGGCUCCUACGGGAGGCAGCAGAAGGGUAUCUUACGCAGUGGGCGAAAGCCUGGCGGAGCAACGGCGAGUGAGUGAUGGAGGUCUUCGGUUCGGAAAACUCUGUUAUGAGGGAAGAACAUAUGUGUAAGGAACUGUGCACAGCUUGACGGUAAUGAGUCAGAAAGCCACGGCUAACUACGUG